CGGGCGGGCGCCCGCGGAUGCACCCGAUGCCGCUGCCCAGGCAGCAUCCGGCCCCAACGGCCGGGCAGAGGCCGCGAGGAGGGCGGAGAGGAACAGGGGGCAGCAGGCGCCACACAGACUCGUGUCCCAGGCCUCUACGGAACACGGCAGAGACUUCACACUGUAUUUCUGAGCCAGGCACUGAAGAAGACAGGUUAUGCUGCUACUUAGGAGUCUAGACUUGUAUCACAGCAGUCAUGAGCCUCAGUACGUCCAUCUGCAGCGUCUGAAUCCCAGAAACACUGUGAGCGCCACAGAUCACCCUUUGCAAGUCAGAUAAAGGGGUGUGCAAGAGUAGCAGGAUGGCUAUUCUUUAAGGGAGAAAAAAAAGGAAAAUAAAGAAAAGGAAAAAAGAAAAUUUAAAAAGAAAAGAAAACACAAUCAAUGACUCUGGCAUGGGGCUACAACACAUACACAUUCAAUACAUCCAUGCCUAAUAGGUCUGACAGAUCUGGGACACAUAUAAGAUCAGCCAAGCUGGUUAGAAAGUAGGUGGCACCUAUAUUGUAGACAGUCCUAUUGCUAUGCUUAGCCAUACCCCUGAUUCUGUUUCCAUUCAUGCUUUUAAAUAUGUUUGAAUUGUAUUGCAUUUUAUUUGUUUCCUUCCACAGAGAAAUAGUGGGCAAAGUACUAUUUAAUUGGAGACAAGGAUGAAGAGCUGGGAAAAGCUGUAAAGAGAAAGAGGAACCAUUGAACAAAAACUGAUAGAGAAAGGCUGUUGGGGUUUUUUUGCUGAUGGGCAUGUUGCCUCUCACCAUCAUGCCAAGAGCAAUGCUUAUUGGACUUGGGAAAAUCUUGUGUGUAAUACCCAGAAGCAGGCCUACUGCCCCAGACAAUACCGUUUAUUUGGCAUAACUGUCUCCAG
rnacentral:lncRNA from 12 species